UACGUAGGGACCAAGCGUUGCUCGGAUUUACUGGGCGUAAAGGGCGCGUAGGCGGCAAUUCAAGUCAUCUGUGAAAUCUCCGGGCUUAACCCGGAACGGUCAGAUAUACUGCUUUGCUAGAGUGCGGAAGGGGCAAUCGGAAUUCUCGGUGUAGCGGUGAAAUGCGUAGAUAUCGAGAGGAACACCUGAGGUGAAGACGGGUUGCUGGGCCGACACUGACGCUGACAGCGCGAAAGCCAGGGAGCAAACGGG
rnacentral:rRNA from 1 species